GACGAACGCUGGCGGCGUGCUUAACACAUGCAAGUCGAACGGAAAGGCCCUGCUUUCAGGGUACUCGCGUGGCGCACGGGUGAGUAACACGCGGGUGUUAUGCCCUGCACUCCGUGGUAAGCCUUGGAAACUCGGUCUCAUACAGGGUAGGGGCCCUCCUUCGUGUGGGUGUUGGAAGGUUUUUUCGGUUGGGUAUGGGCGCGCGGCCGAUCAGCUUGCUGGUGGGGUAGUGGCCUGCCAAGGCUGCGACGGGUGGCCGGCCUGAGAGGGUGUGCGGCCACAUUGGGACUGAGAUGCGGCCGAGACGCCUACGGGAGGCAGGAGUGGAGAAUAGUGCACAGUGGGCGGAAGUCUGAUGCAGAAACGCCGGGUGGGGGGUGACGGUCUUCGGGUUGUAAACCGCUUUCGCCUGUGAAGAAGCGUGAGUGACGGUAAUGGGUAAAGAAGCACCGGCUAACUACGUG
rnacentral:rRNA from 1 species